rnacentral:lncRNA from 1 species
AGAGAGAAAAGUUUUAGUUUAGAAUUUUAGUUCAAGAUUUUCAACAUCAUCCAAUCAUUUAAGAACAGAAAUUGAAUAUUCUGUUGAAUGUUAGCAUUGUCGUAUGUGUAACAGGAAUGAGGUUUCUAAUUUAAGCUGGAAAUGCAACGAAUACACUCUUUGUCCUACAUAUGCAAAGUACUAACAAAGAAACAAGCUUCUGUACUUCAGAUUUGACAGCAGUCAGGCAUCAGCAUGCUGAUGGUUGCUGAAGACCUUAACAUGAAGUGAAGCAAGAUGCACAGUUCAGCAUGGAAUCUAGGAGAACUGCUGUGGCAUGGUAGGCAGCUGCUGACAAAACAGAUGUGUGGGAGAAGGAAGUCUGUGAGAACAGAAGAUAGGUGAGGUCACAUUCAAGGAGUCAAAACUGUCCUGGUCACAGAAGAGAAAAUAUAAUCAAAGCCUCGGACCUUGUCAGACUGGAUAUUUUCAGAAAUGUUUUUAAGUCCUGAGAUACUUUCUAAAUUUGGCAUUAUUAUCUGCCAGUCCGCUGCUGAGACGUUAGAUUGCUCACUUCUGACCUGCUCCUUAAGCCCUCAGAUCUGA